rnacentral:rRNA from 1 species
UACGUAGGGUGCAAGCGUUGUCCGGAAUUAUUGGGCGUAAAGAGCUCGUAGGCGGUUUGUCGCGUCUGCUGUGAAAACUCAGGGCUUAACCCUGAGCCUGCAGUGGGUACGGGCAGACUAGAGUGUGGUAGGGGAGAUCGGAAUUCCUGGUGUAGCGGUGAAAUGCGCAGAUAUCAGGAGGAACACCGAUGGCGAAGGCAGGUCUCUGGGCUGUAACUGACGCUGAGGAGCGAAAGCAUGGGGAGCGAACAGG